CCUACGGGGAGCAGCAGUGGGGAAUAUUGGACAAUGGGCGAAAGCCUGAUCCAGCCAUGCCGCGUGUGUGAAGAAGGCCUUCGGGUUGUAAAGCACUUUCAGUGGGGAAGAAAGCCUUGGGGCUAAUACCCUCGAGGAAGGACAUCACCCACAGAAGAAGCACCGGCUAACUCCGUGCCAGCAGCCGCGGUAAUACGGAGGGUGCGAGCGUUAAUCGGAAUUACUGGGCGUAAAGCGCGCGUAGGCGGUCUGAUAAGCCGGUUGUGAAAGCCCCGGGCUCAACCUGGGAACGGCAUCCGGAACUGUCAGGCUAGAGUGCAGGAGAGGAAGGUAGAAUUCCCGGUGUAGCGGUGAAAUGCGUAGAGAUCGGGAGGAAUACCAGUGGCGAAGGUGGCCUUCUGGACUGACACUGACGCUGAGGUGCGAAAGCGUGGGUAGCAAACAGGAUUAGAUACCCCAGUAGUC
rnacentral:rRNA from 1 species